GUAGGUGGCAAGCGUUGUCCGGAAUUAUUGGGCGUAAAGCGCGCGCAGGCGGUCCUUUAAGUCUGAUGUGAAAGCCCACGGCUCAACCGUGGAGGGUCAUUGGAAACUGGGGGACUUGAGUACAGAAGAGGAGAGCGGAAUUCCAAGUGUAGCGGUGAAAUGCGUAGAGAUUUGGAGGAACACCAGUGGCGAAGGCGGCUUUCUGGUCUGUAACUGACGCUGAGGCGCGAAAGCGUGGGGAGCAAACAGGGAUUAGAUACCCUGGUAGUCCACGCCGUAACCGAUGAGUGCUAAGUGUUAGGGGGUUUCCCGCCCCUUAGUGCUGCAGCUAACGCAUUAAGCACUCCGCCUGGGGAGUACGGCCGCAAGGCUG
rnacentral:rRNA from 1 species